rnacentral:lncRNA from 1 species
CCGUUGCCCUCGGCGCAGCCGUCCACCGAGUAGGCCCGGCGGAUUUUGGCCCGGAUGACCUCGUCGGGAUCGUCGAGGCCGAUCUUGGAGGCGGCCUCGCUGGCGCUCAUCUUGCCGCUCUCGGUGAGGCCCGGCACGAGCGGGUUGAGCAGGUGGAAGCGCUUCCGAUAGCCGAGGACCGGCAGGUGGUCGCGCGCAAAGGCAAAUAUCUUGCGCUGGUCGCGCCCGCCAAACUGGGCGUCGACGUCGAGGUGCUGCUCGUCGAGGGCCUGCAUGAGCGGGUAGAGCACGUUGCUCAGGAGCGGGUUGCGGUCCAUCUUGACCACCUGAGCGGCGGCCUUUUGCGCCGUGCCGGUGCGCACGUGCGCCGCGAGUCGGUAGAGGUCGAGCGCGUAGGCGCCGCCGCACUGGUACUCGGUGCCGCGCACAAACUCGAGUCCGCCCAGCGGCACGCCGAUGUGCUGGAGCAUGGCCUUGAUGGCAAACUCGUACCAGCGGCACCGGUGUUCGACCAGGUCCCACGGCGUCUUGCCGUUGUCGAGGUGGGCGUGCACGUCGGCAAAGAGGAUCUUGACCCGACAGCCGGCCUGGAGAAAGUCGGCCAGUUUGAAGAUGGGCACAAAGUAGCCUAGGUGCGGGUUGCCCGUCGGCGCCGUGCCCCAAUAUAUGAUCAGGGGGCGCUCGGCCAUGAUGGCCUUGAUCUCGGCUGGGUCGCCGAUGACCUCGUCGAGGUCGCGCACGACGAGCGCAUAGCGCUGCUCGACGUCGCCCUGAUCUGGAUCGAUGUUGCCGACGGGCAGAUGCGCAGCCUCCUUGCCGCCGCUGUUGUCGUCGCCGUCGUCGCUGAUCAUCGUCGGGAUUUGCAGGCGCGCAAUGUAUAAAAAGAAAAAGUUUGGCACACGAAAAUUCGAGUAAAAAAGGGUCGGCUCAG